rnacentral:antisense_RNA from 1 species
UGUGAGAGCGAGCCUGCUCGCGAUGAGGCCUUUAGUCUCGAUAUCAAUGUCGACUGUCAGAUCGCCAUCGCGAGCAGGCUCGCUCCCACA